rnacentral:lncRNA from 1 species
CCUUAUGCAAUGCACAUGACAGGAGCUGUAAUAUGAUGACUGGGGUGCACUUGUCAUGUGUCUGUCUUAAAUAAAGAGUAAAGCGAGAAAGCAAAACUGAGGUGGGGUGCAUUUAGUAGUGCAACAUACUUGGGUAGAACAUCCAGUCAGACAUCUCGUAGUUCUGCUUCAUAUAACAGUAAGGAUUUCAGAUGCUUGCACAAUAAUCUUUUAAUCCAUCUGGGGUUGAUUUCUUGUAAAUACAUGCCCCAUGGAAGGUUCUGCAGGAGUUGCCUCCUAAGCCUCAAGACCUCCUAAAUUAUUUCUUACUCAUAGAAUUUGUAACCCCAGAAUAACUCAAAUUUUG